rnacentral:tmRNA from 1 species
GGGGCUGACUGGUUUUGACAGCGGGUAGAAGAGGCAGGUAAGCAUGCAGGGUUUUGAUUGUUGACCCUAUAAAAUAAUAAUCAAAACAUUAAUUGGCGAAGAAAAUUACGCUCUUGCUGCGUAACCGAACGAAGUAGGUUACUGCUUUAUCCCGGAACAAGGUUCUGGGACGAGACAUCGCCCGGGUGCUAUCGCUUCGAAGCGGCCCGAACCGGCGGUGCAAGUAAAUCGAAGCUAGCGGAAGUUUUGCUCCGUAAUUUCUGCGAAAAUAAAGGAGCUAAGGUGCUGGUCGGUGGCCCUGAUCCAGCCGGCACUCGAAAAACAAGUCGGGGCUAAGCAUGUAGAAAGCUUGUGGCUUCCUCGUUUGGACGCGGGUUCGACUCCCGCCAGCUCCACUU